rnacentral:misc_RNA from 1 species
AUUAUUAUUAUUAUUAUUAUUAUGGUCAGGGCUAUAAUUGGACUCAUCAAAGCCCACACACCCCCUUCCAAUAACUGCAGUAUUAAUAAAAAGAAGUUGGUUUUGGACUGAGUUAACUAAUUAUUAUGGAUUUAGAUUGUCAUUUCCUGCACCUAUGGUCCCACACUACCACCUGUCAGCCUAUUAUGCAGCUUCAUUAGAAGAUUGCAGUAGCAGUGGCAGCAGUUGUAUGAAGGACUACAGGCACAUCCUUGGGAUUCUCUGCCUCGUGCUCUACCCAAAUAUUUCCACGUGGACUUCCUGAAUUAACUCUUGACUGUUCUUUCCAAGGAAAUUCUGAGUCCACCGUGAAUCUAAGAAUUUAAUAGAUGAGGUCCAGGUAUAGGUUGACAGAGCAAAUUCCUAUUGUCACGCGGAAGUAUGGCACUAUAAAUUAUUACCUCAACGGAUAAAAAAAAUUUUAAAAGGAACUUUGUAGGGUACAGCAAGAGUAUGAUCAGUCAGGCAUCAACACGUGCUUGAUACCAAUGGAUCAACAGAGGUCAACGCUUCCAAAGAAUCAGAUCCAUAAACUCCAGCUGAUUGGUCAGAGAGAUCGUAUCCUGGUUCUACAUUCUAGUGCUACCCACUGUACUUAGAGAAACUUGACCACUCAAGGAACCAAGGCGGGAACACCAGGCUGACACGAAACACAGACAACUCCUGGUAUAUGUUAGCAAAUCACAAUAUGUUUUGUCUACGUUACG